UUCAUGAGCUCUCCUUGCAGGAAUACAAAACACUGCACAACCUCUUUCAAGACCAGGAGGAGGAGAAGGAGGAGAAGGGGGUUGCAGGGGAAGAGGGGGACCAGGGGGAGGAGGAGAGCUUCUGUUACAACACAUGGUUAAGGGAUUUCUUGAAGCUGGGAAAAGAUGGAGAAAAAUACUUCUCUAAUAGUUUAGACGAAGGAUGCAUUUACAAAUGUAAGGUGUGCAACGAGGAUGUUCUACAUUGGUUAUUUCAAGAUCAUUUAAGGAAUC